GAUGAACGCUGGCGGCAUGCCUAACACAUGCAAGUCGAUCGGUAAGGCUCUUCGGAGUACACGAGAGGCGGACGGCUGAGUAACGCGUAGGAACACACCCUGCAGUGAGGGAUAAGACACCGAAAGGUGUUCUAAUACCGCAUACGGUCUUCGGAUUAAAGCAUUUAUGCGCUGAAGGAGUGGCCUGCGUCAUAUUGGAUAGUUGGUGAGGUAAUGGCUCACCAAGUCGAUGAUGUGUAGCUGGUCUGAGAGGAUGAUCAGCCAGACUGGAACUGAGACACGGUCCAGACUCCUACGGGAGGCAGCAGUGAGGAAUAUUUCACAAUGAGCGAAAGCUUGAUGGAGCAAUGCCGCGUGCAGGAUGAAGGCCCUCGGGUUGUAAACUGCUUUUAUAAGAGAAGAUUAUGACGGUAACUUAUGAAUAAGGGACGGCUAACUACGUG
rnacentral:rRNA from 1 species